AACGAACGCUGGCGGCAGGCCUAACACAUGCAAGUCGAACGCUGUAGCAAUACAGAGUGGCAGACGGGUGAGUAACGCGUGGGAACAUGCCCUUCGGUUCGGAAUAACUCAGGGAAACUCGAGCUAAUACCGGAUACGCCCUUAGGGGGAAAGAUUUAUUGCCGAAGGAUUGGCCCGCGUCCGAUUAGCUAGUUGGUGAGGUAAUGGCCCACCAAGGCGACGAUCGGUAGCUGGUCUGAGAGGAUGAUCAGCCACACUGGGACUGAGACACGGCCCAGACUCCUACGGGAGGCAGCAGUGGGGAAUAUUGGACAAUGGGCGCAAGCCUGAUCCAGCCAUGCCGCGUGAGUGAUGAAGGCCCUAGGGUUGUAAAGCUCUUUCGCCAGGGACGAUAAUGACGGUACCUGGAUAAGAAGCCCCGGCUAACUUCGUGCCAGCCGCCGCGGUAAAAC
rnacentral:rRNA from 1 species